rnacentral:rRNA from 1 species
ACCUACGGGGCGCAGCAGUGGGGAAUAUUGCACAAUGGGGGAAACCCUGAUGCAGCGACGCCGCGUGAGUGAAGAAGUAUUUCGGUAUGUAAAGCUCUAUCAGCAGGGAAGAAAAUGACGGUACCUGACUAAGAAGCCCCGGCUAACUACGUGCCAGCAGCCGCGGUAAUACGUAGGGGGCAAGCGUUAUCCGGAUUUACUGGGUGUAAAGGGAGCGUAGGCGGCAAGGUAAGCCAGGAGUGAAAGCCCGGGGCCCAACCCCGGGACUGCUCUUGGAACUGCGUGGCUAG